GGAGACGUGGGUGAGUGGCUGAAACCACAGGUUUGCUAAAUCUGCAGUCUGGGAAACCGGGCUCGGGGGUUCGAAUCCCUCCGUCUCCG
rnacentral:tRNA from 1 species